AUGGAGGAGAGUAGGCUGCGAAUUUGAUGUGUAUGAAUGGGUAACAGGAAGCUUUCAUUUAUAGGUGUGGGUUCUACCAGAGAAUGAGAAAAAUAGGGAGAGAUAUACCAAUCCCAUACGAAUUCGUUUUUCUGGAUGUAUAUCCAUACGAAUUCGGUUACUGUAUAGUUAUCCCAUACGAAUUAAAAUCAGUAUGGGAUAACCCCCACUGUUUCGAAUUAAUCUCUAUCUCCCUAUCUCAUUUGAACCACAGAUCUGACCCACCUGACCAGACCUUAGCUAAAAAUAAAAGCUCCUCAGCUCCUCGCGACGAUGCGUACGUGCAAAGUGCAAAGUGCAAAGUGCAAAGUGCGCCUCAAACGCGCCCAUUCGCGCCUCAAACGCGACCAUUCGCGAGCUCGCGGCUCGGCUCGGCUCGGCGCGCGUGUGGGCUUCACCCACUUCUCAACCCAUUUAUCACUAUGGAGGCCCAUAAGGGGUAAUCCCUUAUAAACCACCCAAACUUCACUCACUCCACCAAUGUGGGAUGGAGGAAACAUACCAACUUGUAUGUUCCUCUUUAAAAUUAUCUUUAAUAUAUCCAACAAUAGGUGGGUUAAGAGUGGUAUGUCAGGUUGGGAUAACAAGUCCAAACAUGCAUCUUUUAUAUUCUUUUUUUACUGGGAUGGGGAUUUAAAACAAACAGGUCCAGAUCGACCAAAAACACUCUUAUGUCCAAAAUUAAAAUUUCCAUAUUUAUGAACGGUAUAUUUUGCUCCUAAAUGCAGAAAUUAGAGUAGACGCUGCAGAAUGACGGUUAUAUUAUGUCAUUUCAACUUACGCACUCUCGAGAUUGUUCACAUGUAUAUAAAUCCAGAACCAUGGAUAUUGAUGUUUUUUAUAGGCUCAUUUUUUUGUUAUGGAAUAGUAAGCAACUGAAUUGCAUUAAUUUUAAGUUUAUUUUGAAUUUCUGAUGAAUGCUUGAUCGUCUCCAUCCCUAAAUCUGUUUUGCACAGCACACCGCACCCAGCACUUGUCGCCGCCACACCCCGGCUUGCUAUUGAUUUUGACCAAGCGAAACAUGGAUAUUUUAAAUUCGUGACUCACAUGACUUGUGUCUGAGAUAUUAUUGACUAUGUUUGAAAUGGGCUGCUAAUUCUUCUGAUCAGGUUGAUGUAAUCUUCUAUGAUAUGUGAAGGUGAACCCGGCCACAACGCAGCAGAUACCACUAGUUAUUAACUAAUGGCUAAAGAUUCUUAUCAUGAAGCCUCUUUCCCUUAGGUGAUGGCAAUUCAGAUAACUAGAGGUAUUGAAAGACCCACCCAAUCUUUGGUUGGAGAGCUUAAAGUGAUGUCAAAGAAGUGAAUUUGUCAGUUAUUAAGUGCUCUUACAUCAUACUUGGCUGAUGCGUCGGCCAUAAGCAAUAAGUGCAGGGAAUAACUAUAUAUGAAGUGAGAAAUUGAUGAUUAAUUUACUCGUAUGAAGAUUGUGAAAGAGAUUCAUGAACACAAUGAAGUUUUGGUAUUUUGUUCAAAUGUUUAUUAAUUAUUUGUUUUGUAUGUUUGAUAUUUAGACUUAGGUCGACACUUAUUAGAUAUUUGUUUGCAAA